AUGUCUAGUUUUGGGCACGGCACUUUAGGAAAGAUGUGAGCCAAAUGGAGAGAGUCCAGAGAGGUAAUAAAAGUGAAGAGAAGUGUGAAUAACAUAACCUGGGGUAACAGCUAAAGGAAAUCUUCUAGAAAAGAGAAAACAGAAAAGAGUCCGUGAACUGCCUUCAAAAAUGCAAAAGAGAAAGAGAAAAGCAGUAAUGGAUUUAAACUGCAUCAAAGGACAUUUCCAGUGCCUGAAGCUUGCAGAGGGUUCUGAAGCAUGUAUGCGCACUGGAAGACUGCUUAGGAUGACUCUUCAGAUUGGCACCUCUCUGAGGACCCUGAAGUUAGCAGAGCUUGCUUAACACCUUUCUGAUAUUGCACUUUGCCUUCAAUCUCUGUGAAUAAACGUGCAUAAUUUAUGUACUUUCUUGUACUGUAAAACAAAACCUAACUAAUUUCAAGGGAGAAUAUUUGCUGACACUGAGCUGGGAAAAAGAUGGGAAUGCUAUCUGCAAGCCUCCUGUGUAGUAUUACAUUGCUCUUUCCAGGAUUGCAGCACUGUACAAGCUAUAUUUAUUAGGAAUGGCCCAAAGUUAAAAGGUUUGAGUAUCAGAAGAGAAGUAUUUCCGUUGUUCAAGCUAUCAUUAAAUCAAGACCAAACCCUCUCAGACAGUUUCAACUCCUUGGAAGUCCAAGGUUUUGGUUCCCAUGCAUAUGAACCAACCCCAAUUGCAAUGAGUCACCUUAUCUCAAAAGAACAAAAAUGCUACAAGUUGUAACAGUCAGAAAUUGUGAGGCAAUUGUUCUUGCAGCUUGCUCUAACUCAUGUAGCACUCAAGACUGAAGGAUGGUGUC